GAAGCCCCCCAAGAAUGAUUUAAUCUUGAACACAAACAUCCUCAGAUGUGUCCCCAGGUGGAUAGACAAGAAGAAACUCUUAGAAAAAUAAGACAGGGACCAUAAAAAACAAAAAACAAACAAACAAAAACAAGGCAGUUAACCUACAAGAGAGUAGAAGCAGAUUUAGACAGAUGGACAAGCAAGGAACUUACUUCUCUGCCUGGAUACUCCAGAUCUACACCAAGAACACAGAAAUUUCUGCAAAUGGAACUGGAUGGAAGAUUAGGACUAUCAUGAUCCUGCCUGCAUGAGAAGUAACAGCAUGCCUUAGAGGCCCUAUUGUGGAAUUUCACUAACAUCUCUGAAGUUCAGGCAAAAGUUGUCUCCUAGGUCUAGAGUCUUCAAACAGGAAUCACAUAUUCUGGGAGAAACCAUGGUGGGUGGCAACACUAACCAUGAAUAUAUCUUGCCUGAUGAGGAUUAAAGAUAAUAGUUUAUGUGAAGCUGUACUCAAGUUCAAAGGCAAGGAACAUGCUGAAGAACUGGCACAAAAUUCUUCUGGGAAAUGGCUUAUGCAGGAAAUAAGAAUGAUUCAGAGGUAUUCUAAUUCACAUUCUCAGGAAAACCCAAGAGAACAUUUCAUGUAAUGUCAGGCAACUUAGAAGAGUGGUUAAGAACCACUGGUGAAGGGUGCUCUGGGACACCUCUAGCCCAUAUCUAUUCCACCCAUUGCUAUGCCUCUAAGGUGGCCUAGGUGAAGCACCUCCAGUACAACAUCCCCCAGUCCCCACCAUAAUGGCCUUCAGUAGAACAUUCUCCAAGACCCCAAUGGUAUUUCCCUGAUUUUAGCUGCCCCACCAAGACAUCCGGGUGUUAUACACCCUGGGACUCCCAAGACUGUACUUGUUCUACUUCUACCAUCCCACCAGGGUAGCCUUGAGCUGUGCUAACACCAGUUCCAGCUAACCUCAGUGCUAGUACCUACUCCAGUUCUAGCCAUUCCAUCAAGGGAGCCCUGAGGGAAUGUACCCUGGGACUACCUGUCUCAUGCCCACUUCAGCUCCAGCCAGCCUACCAAUGCCACUAGUCAUAUGCAGUCUACAGAGGGGAUACUCUUACACAAGGCCAUUCCUUCAACACUAGGAUAGGUAGCUGUUGUGUUUAAUUCAUCGAAAUAAACACAGAAAGUAAAACAAAGUGAGGAAUAUGUUCCAAACAAAGGAACAAGAUGAAACUAUAGGGGCAGAGGACAAUAAAAUAGAGGAAAGUAGUUUAUCUGACAAGUGGUUGAAAGUAAUAGUCAUAAAAGGGGCACCUUAAGGGCUCAGUUGGUUAAAUGUCUGCCUUUGGCUCAGGCCACCAUCCAAGAUCCUGUGAUCAGCCCUAAGAUAGGCUCUCUGUUCAGUGGGUAGCCUGCUUCUCCCUCUUCCUCUGCCCUUUCCCCCCUGCUCAAGCUCAUGCUCUCUCUUUUGCAUACUUUCUCUCUCAAGUAGGUAAAUAAAAUCUUUAAAAAAGAGAGAGAGAGAGAGAAAGUAAUAGUCAUAAAGAUGCUCACCAAACCAGGGAGAAGAAUGUAGGAACUCAGAACUUAAACAAAAAAUAUAAGGAAGAAACAUCAGAGCUAAAGAAUACAAAAACUGAAAUGAAAAAUACUUGAGGAGAAAUCAACAGUAUGUUAAAAAAUACAGAAGAAUGCAUCAGAAAUCAGGAAGUUAGAAUAGAAAUCAUCAAGUAAAACGAGCAAAAAGAAAAAAGAAAUUUUAAAGUAAGAUAGCUUAAGAAAUCUCUAGAACAAUCUCAGGUGGAAUAACAUUUGCAUUAUAGGGGUCUAGCCAGGAAAGGAGACAAAGAAGCAGAAACCUUAUUUAGAGAAAUAAUGGCUGAAAACAUCCAUAACCUGGGGAGGGAAACUGACAUCCAUGUUCAGAAGGCAUAGAGAGUCCCAAGUAGAUGAAUCCAAAGAAAUCUACACCAAGACAUAUAAUUAAAAUGACAAAAAUUGAAGAUAAAGAAUCUUAAAGGCAGCCAGAGAAAUGCAAAUAGUCACAUACAAGGGAAACUCCAUAAUAUUUGAAGGCUUCAAGUGAUUGGCAGGAUAAAUUUAAAAUGUCAAAAGGAAAAACUUAAAACCAAAAUUACUAUACCCUGGAAGAUUAUUAUCAGAAUUAAAGGAGAGUUAUAGGGAUGCUUGAGUGGCUCAGUCGAUUAAACAUCUACCUUCAGCUCAGGCAGGUCAUGAUCCCAGGGUCCUGGGAUUGAGCCCCACAUUAGCAUCAAGUUCCUUGCUCAAUGGAGAGUCUGUUUCUCCCUCUGCCUCUGCCCCUUCCUCUGCUUGUGCUCUUAGUCUCUUGCCUCUUUGCUAAGUAUCAAAGAUAUUUAUGCUUAAACAAAUGUCUCCCUCCCAGUGCAUCUUUUUUUUAACGAAAAUAAUAAAAGAGCAUUAAAGAGUUUCCCAGACAAGAAAAAAACAAAAGACGUUCAUCACCACUAAUCUGGCCUUGCAAAAAAAUGUUAGAGUGUUCUUAAAGCAGAAAAAAGGGUAUAACUAGAAAUAAAUAUGUAUAUGAAAGAAAAAAUAUAUAGCUGAUAAAAGUAAGUAUAAAGGCAGAGUAUUGGCCAAUGAAAAGGCCAGUAUGUAGGCUAAAAGACAAAAGAGUGAAAUAAACUAAAAAAGUGUAUGAAGGACAAAAUUAAAAGAUAUAAAAUAUAACAUUAAAGCAUAAAACAUGGUGGGGAGGGAGAGCUUUUAGAAUGCAUUCAACCUUAAACAACUAUCAGCUUAAAAUAGGUACUAAAUAUAUACACGUGUGUGUGUGUGUGUGUGUGUGUGUGCAUGUGCGCACAUACAUACUGGCUUAAGUACAGGAGAUAUGAAUAUCUCC